GGUAGGUACUCGAGUGGCGAACGGGUGAGUAACACGUGGGUGAUCUGCCCUGCACUCUGGGAUAAGCCUGGGAAACUGGGUCUAAUACCGGAUAGGACCAUGCUUUAGUGUGUGUGGUGGAAAGUUUUUUCGGUGUAGGAUGAGCCCGCGGCCUAUCAGCUUGUUGGUGGGGUAAUGGCCUACCAAGGCGGCGACGGGUAGCCGGACUGAGAGGUUGGUCGGCCACAUUGGGACUGAGAUACGGCCCAG
rnacentral:rRNA from 1 species